rnacentral:rRNA from 1 species
CUACGGGGGCAGCAGUGGGGAAUAUUGGACAAUGGGCGAAAGCCUGAUCCAGCCAUGCCGCGUGUGUGAAGAAGGCCUUCGGGUUGUAAAGCACUUUCAGUGGGGAAGAAAGCCUUGGGGCUAAUACCCUCGAGGAAGGACAUCACCCACAGAAGAAGCACCGGCUAACUCCGUGCCAGCAGCCGCGGUAAUACGGAGGGUGCGAGCGUUAAUCGGAAUUACUGGGCGUAAAGCGCGCGUAGGCGGUCUGAUAAGCCGGUUGUGAAAGCCCCGGGCUCAACCUGGGAACUGCAUCCGGAACUGUCAGGCUAGAGUGCAGGAGAGGAAGGUAGAAUUCCCGGUGUAGCGGUGAAAUGCGUAGAGAUCGGGAGGAAUACCAGUGGCGAAGGCGGCCUUCUGGACUGACACUGACGCUGAGGUGCGAAAGCGUGGGUAGCAAACAGGAUUAGAUACCCGUGUAGUC